rnacentral:rRNA from 1 species
UGGGGAAUUUUGGACAAUGGGCGAAAGCCUGAUCCAGCAAUGACGCGUGUGUGAAGAAGGCCUUCGGGUUGUAAAGCACUUUUGUCCGGAAAGAAAUCCUUGGCUCUAAUACAGUCGGGGGAUGACGGUACCGGAAGAAUAAGCACCGGCUAACUACGUGCCAGCAGCCGCAGUAAUACGUAGGGUGCAAGCGUUAAUCGGAAUUACUGGGCGUAAAGCGUGCGCAGGCGGUUUGCUAAGACCGAUGUGAAAUCCCCGGGCUCGACCUGGGAACUGCAUUGGUGACUGGCAGGCUAGAGUAUGGCAGAGGGGGGUAGAAUUCCACGUGUAGCAGUGAAAUGCGUAGAGAUGUGGAGGAAUACCGAUGGCGAAGGCAGCCCCCUGGGGCCAAUACUGACGCUCAUGCACGAAAGCGUGGGGAGCAAACAGGAUUAGAUACCCUGGUAGUCCACGCCCUAAACGAUGUCAACUAGUUGUUGGGGAUUCAUUUCCUUAGUAACGUAGCUAACGCGUGAAGUUGACCGCCUGGGGGAGUACGGUCGCAAGAUUAAAACUCAAUGAAUUGACGGGGUCAUAGCUGUUUCCU